rnacentral:rRNA from 1 species
AUUGAACGCUGGCGGCAGGCCUAACACAUGCAAGUCGAGCGGAGCGGGGGACGGGUAAGUAAUGGCUAGGUAUCUGCCUGGUCGUGGGGGAUAACGUCAGGUAACGGGCGCUAAUGCCACAUACUAUCCGAUUAGCCUAGGUCGGGUUGGCUAGUUGGUGGGGUAAAGGCCUACCAAGGCGACGCUCCGUAACUGGUCUGAGGGGAUGAUCAGUCACACUGGAACUGCGACACGGUCCAGACUCCUACGGGAGGCAGCAGUGGGGAAUCUUGGACAAUGGGCGAAAGCCUGAUCCAGCCAUGCCGCGUGUGUGAAGAAGGUCUUCGGAUUGUAAAGCACUUUCAGUUGGGAGGCGUUACCAACAGAAUAAGCACCGGCUAACUACGGGCCAGCAGCCGCGGUAAUUC